rnacentral:rRNA from 1 species
AUUGAACGCUGGCGGCAGGCUUAACACAUGCAAGUCGAGCGAGCGGCGGACGGGUGAGUAAUGUCUGGGAAACUGCCUGAUGGCGGGGGAUAACUACUGGAAACGGUAGCUAAUACCGCAUACCAUCAGAUGUGCCCAGAUGGGAUUAGCUAGUAGGUGGGGUAAUGGCUCACCUAGGCGACGAUCCCUAGCUGGUCUGAGAGGAUGACCAGCCACACUGGAACGGAAACUCGGUCCAGACUCCUACGGUAUGCAGCGGUGGGGAAUAAUGCACAAUUGGCGCAAGCCUGAUGCAACCCUGCCGCGUAUGUGAAGGAGGCCUUCGGGUUUGAAAGCACUUUCAGCGAGGAGGCGUUACUCGCAGAAGAAGCACCGGCUAACUCCGUGCCAGCAGCCGCGGUAAUUC